rnacentral:tRNA from 1 species
AUGGGCGUAGCUCAACUGGAAGAGCAGCGGUCUCCAAAACCGCCGGUUGCAGGUUCAACUCCUGCCGCCCAUG